AUGCUUGGUCCCCUUGCCAUCCUGUGUGCUCUCCUGUUUCCAGGUGGUGGAGCAGGGCUCAAGCUGCGUCAGACUGCUUUAUUGGUGGCACGUGUGGGCAGUUCAUGUUCUCUGGAUUGCCAAGUGGAUAGCUCGGUCAAGUACAUCCACUGGUACCGCCACCAGGAGGGUACGGCACCGAAGAGGCUCCUCUACCUAGACAUGUCCAGAUCCCUUGUGCAACGGGAUUUUGUCCUGAAAGCAGACAAAGUUUAUGCCCAGAAGGGCAAGGAUAGCUACAGCUGUAUUCUGUCACUGCUGAAACUAGAGAAAAGCGACGAAGGCGUGUACUACUGUGCUGCCUGGGCAUACCACAGCCCUUAUGAGAUUGCAGGGGAAUGUACUAUGUUGAACAGCAGUGAUAAAAGUCCUGAUGAAGAUAUUUCUCCCAAGCCCACAGUUUUUCUUCCUUCAGUUGCUGAAGUAGAAGUCCAUAAGGCUGGAACAUAUCUUUGUCUUCUUGAGGAUUUUUUCCCUGAUGUUAUCAAGGUAGAUUGGCAAGUAAAGGAUGACAAAACAAUUCUGAAAUCUCAGCAGGGAGACACCACGAAGACUAAGGACACAUACAUGAAAUUCAGCUGGCUGACCGUGACUGGAGCAUCAAUAGAUAAAGAACACAAAUGUAUCAUCAACCACCUAAGUAAUAGCAGAGAAGUUGUUCAAGAGAAUCUUUUCCCUUCAAUAAACAAAGGUUUGAUGGCUGUGACAGAAUCUGAAAUGAACUCCCAGGGACAUUCAGAGACAAAGCGAAACACAGAGGUGGUGACCAUGAGUCCUUUGAAUUCAGGAUAUUUCUCACCUGAUCCAAUGGCUGUGGAGCUUGCUGCUAUUAACUCCACAAAAUCUUCUCUGAAUGAGGAAAAUGACACCCUGCAGCUGCAACUUGGGAACACAUCUGCCUACUAUACCUACCUCCUCCUCCUCCUGAAGAGCCUGGUCUACUCCGUCUUCCUCAUCAUCUGUCUGCUUGGGAGACCAGCACUCAGUGGCAGUGGGAAGAGUUCCUAA